GGGUUGUGAGGUUAAGCGACUAAGCGUACACGGUGGAUGCCCUGGCAGUCAGAGGCGAUGAAGGGCGUGCUAAUCUGCGAUAAGCGCCGGUAAGGUGAUAUGAACCGUUAUAACCGGCGAUACCCGAAUGGGGAAACCCAGUGUGAUUCGUCACACUAUCAUUAACUGAAUCCAUAGGUUAAUGAGGCGAACCGGGGGAACUGAAACAUCUAAGUACCCCGAGGAAAAGAAAUCAACCGAGAUUCCCCCAGUAGCGGCGAGCGAACGGGGAGGAGCCCAGAGCCUGAAUCAGCAUGUGUGUUAGUGGAAGCGUCUGGAAAGGCGCGCGAUACAGGGUGACAGCCCCGUACACAAAAGCGCAUGUGCUGUGAGCUCGAUGAGUAGGGCGGGACACGUGGUAUCCUGUCUGAAUAUGGGGGGACCAUCCUCCAAGGCUAAAUACUCCUGACUGACCGAUAGUGAACCAGUACCGUGAGGGAAAGGCGAAAAGAACCCCGGCGAGGGGAGUGAAAAAGAACCUGAAACCGUGUACGUACAAGCAGUGGGAGCACCCUUCGGGGUGUGACUGCGUACCUUUUGUAUAAUGGGUCAGCGACUUAUAUUCUGUAGCAAGGUUAACCGAAUAGGGGAGCCGGAGGGAAACCGAGUCUUAAUUGGGCGUUAAGUUGCAGGGUAUAGACCCGAAACCCGGUGAUCUAGCCAUGGGCAGGUUGAAGGUUGGGUAACACUAACUGGAGGACCGAACCGACUAAUGUUGAAAAAUUAGCGGAUGACCUGUGGCUGGGGGUGAAAGGCCAAUCAAACCGGGAGAUAGCUGGUUCUCCCCGAAAGCUAUUUAGGUAGCGCCUCGUGAAUUCAUCUCCGGGGGUAGAGCACUGUUUCGGCUAGGGGGCCAUCCCGGCUUACCAACCCGAUGCAAACUGCGAAUACCGGAGAAUGUUAUCACGGGAGACACACGGCGGGUGCUAACGUCCGUCGUGAAGAGGGAAACAACCCAGACCGCCAGCUAAGGUCCCAAAGUCAUGGUUAAGUGGGAAACGAUGUGGGAAGGCCCAGACAGCCAGGAUGUUGGCUUAGAAGCAGCCAUCAUUUAAAGAAAGCGUAAUAGCUCACUGGUCGAGUCGGCCUGCGCGGAAGAUGUAACGGGGCUAAACCAUGCACCGAAGCUGCGGCAGCGAACGUAUCACCCAAGACAACUUUACGGAGUUGACGAUUGACGGAGCGAAGCGACGUCAAAGCGUUCAUUAAAGUCGAGUUGGCUUAGGGAUACGUUCGUUGGGUAGGGGAGCGUUCUGUAAGCCUGUGAAGGUGUGUCGUGAGGCAUGCUGGAGGUAUCAGAAGUGCGAAUGCUGACAUAAGUAACGAUAAAGCGGGUGAAAAGCCCGCUCGCCGGAAGACCAAGGGUUCCUGUCCAACGUUAAUCGGGGCAGGGUGAGUCGACCCCUAAGGCGAGGCCGAAAGGCGUAGUCGAUGGGAAACGGGUUAAUAUUCCCGUACUUGGUGUUACUGCGAAGGGGGGACGGAGAAGGCUAUGUUGGCCGGGCGACGGUUGUCCCGGUUUAAGGGUGUAGGUGUGUGUUCCAGGUAAAUCCGGUUCACUUUAACACUGAGGCGUGACGACGAGGCACUACGGUGCUGAAGCAACAAAUGCCCUGCUUCCAGGAAAAGCCUCUAAGCAUCAGGUAACACGAAAUCGUACCCCAAACCGACACAGGUGGUCAGGUAGAGAAUACCAAGGCGCUUGAGAGAACUCGGGUGAAGGAACUAGGCAAAAUGGUGCCGUAACUUCGGGAGAAGGCACGCUGACACGUAGGUGAAGUGAUUUACUCAUGGAGCUGAAGUCAGUCGAAGAUACCAGCUGGCUGCAACUGUUUAUUAAAAACACAGCACUGUGCAAACACGAAAGUGGACGUAUACGGUGUGACGCCUGCCCGGUGCCGGAAGGUUAAUUGAUGGGGUCAGCGUAAGCGAAGCUCCUGAUCGAAGCCCCGGUAAACGGCGGCCGUAACUAUAACGGUCCUAAGGUAGCGAAAUUCCUUGUCGGGUAAGUUCCGACCUGCACGAAUGGCGUAAUGAUGGCCAGGCUGUCUCCACCCGAGACUCAGUGAAAUUGAACUCGCUGUGAAGAUGCAGUGUACCCGCGGCAAGACGGAAAGACCCCGUGAACCUUUACUAUAGCUUGACACUGAACAUUGAGCCUUGAUGUGUAGGAUAGGUGGGAGGCUUUGAAGUGUGGACGCCAGUCUGCAUGGAGCCGACCUUGAAAUACCACCCUUUAAUGUUUGAUGUUCUAACGUGGACCCGUAAUCCGGGUUGCGGACAGUGUCUGGUGGGUAGUUUGACUGGGGCGGUCUCCUCCUAAAGAGUAACGGAGGAGCACGAAGGUUGGCUAAUCCUGGUCGGACAUCAGGAGGUUAGUGCAAUGGCAUAAGCCAGCUUGACUGCGAGCGUGACGGCGCGAGCAGGUGCGAAAGCAGGUCAUAGUGAUCCGGUGGUUCUGAAUGGAAGGGCCAUCGCUCAACGGAUAAAAGGUACUCCGGGGAUAACAGGCUGAUACCGCCCAAGAGUUCAUAUCGACGGCGGUGUUUGGCACCUCGAUGUCGGCUCAUCACAUCCUGGGGCUGAAGUAGGUCCCAAGGGUAUGGCUGUUCGCCAUUUAAAGUGGUACGCGAGCUGGGUUUAGAACGUCGUGAGACAGUUCGGUCCCUAUCUGCCGUGGGCGCUGGAGAACUGAGGGGGGCUGCUCCUAGUACGAGAGGACCGGAGUGGACGCAUCACUGGUGUUCGGGUUGUCAUGCCAAUGGCACUGCCCGGUAGCUAAAUGCGGAAGAGAUAAGUGCUGAAAGCAUCUAAGCACGAAACUUGCCCCGA
rnacentral:rRNA from 1 species